CGGCGGCGUGGGCGAGGAUCCGCUCCCUCUCGCCCGGAGGGACGAUCUCCAGCUCCGAGAUCCGGGCGUCCGGCUCCGCCACCGCCGC
rnacentral:tRNA from 1 species